CUGUGACAGUCAUUAGCUACUGACAAACUUAGUACAACAGAACUUGCAACCAUGAACCACAAACUUCAACUCCUCUUUUUGUUCAUUUCCAUGAUUUUGAUGUCAGGAAUUUUCGUGACACCAGCAGUUGGACUACCAGCAGCGUGUAAAUUGCCGAAACACUUGUUAUGCAAACAUCCAGUAGUAGCUAAGAUUUGCAAGAGAAAGUGUUAAUCGGCACUUUUAACGGGAACACCAAUAUGGAAUGGGCACCGGUUCCAGAUGUCAAUACAAUAAUAAAAAAAAAUGUUUUGGAUAUUAAAUGAUUUGAAGUAGUGUUCCUGUAUACCAAAUGCACAUUUCAUGUGGACAAUAAACAGAUAAAUACAAUCAU